rnacentral:tRNA from 1 species
GGGCUUGUGGAGUAGUCUGGAUAUCUCACUUGAGAAACGAACUAAUAUGAUGAUUGGUGACAUGACUCUAAGGGUUUAAAGUACCAGGAGAACGUUGGUUCGAAGCCAACCAAGCCCA